CCAAAAUUAAGGCAGCUGUAUGCUGUAAAAGCAUUAGUUCUUUGUCAAAAGAUACGUUCUUCCAUCUUCAUCUAUUGUUGCCAGCUGUCAGCAUUUUCUUAAAAGCUCAGGUUUUCUUCUUAGCCACACCUGUAUGUGGCUUGUUGGUUGUCCAGGUGUGGUUUGCAGCUUAAAUGUCUAACCCUGUCAACCAAGAGUUCCACUGUUGUUUCACAAGGCUGACCGUGCUGAGCUAGUCCUAGUAUUUCCUGCACAUCUCGGCAGAUCUUGAAGAGGCGACACUGAAACUUCUCGUCCCAGUCAUUCUUGCUUUUGUCACCGGUCACCAGUCUCGUAGCACCCAUCACGUUGGUCACAGCACUCUGUGAGGGAAGGGAUGCCGAUGUUAAGGUGACGCCACGCAGUGGAGAGCCCCAUCCAUUCAGCAGGAGGGUUUAUAAUGUGGGAAAGGGACUUAUGCCAGCAGAGCCGUCCUCGCCCCCUCGAAUACAAGGUGGCAGUCAGAAUAACACAAGACUGGAAAAAUUUAAAAGAACAGAAAUUUAUUUGGCUAACAUUUCUGGCAGCUGGGAAGUCCAAGAGCAUGGCACCUGCAUCUGGCAAGCGUCAUUCCGUGACAGAAGGCAUCACAUGAUCCUAAAUUCCGGUGGAAUGGUUUAUGCCAACUAGUUUGAAGACCUCUGCAGAGGAACCAAAUCAGCCUGGAGAAUGCAGUUUCUUCAUCUCCUGAUGCCAUGACUUCACCCUACACUCUUCAACCAAUUAAUGAUGCCCUCACCUCGACCCACUACUUGUUCAAACCCUUUAAAAUUGCUAGUCGCCAACUCCUCAGUGAAGUGGGUUGGUGACGUCCUCCCGUCUCAUUUGUCCGUCUUACAAUUAAACCUCUUUCUCUGCUGUAA